CUUUGCUGGAGCCGACGGGGCGGUCUCCGGUUCCCCUGAGCUGGUUGUGUGUCACUUACAACUCUGCAGUCAAUGAGGUCAUAAUGGCAGCUCGGACUGGCUGUGGUGGGAGUACUGACACCACAGAAGCGGGCAACGCUGUAGAACAGGGCAGAGAACCGGUCGUGAAACAUACUACUUAGUACAACGCAAGAAAAAUGAAGUCUGUACGUCCCAGUGCGCAAAGAAGCAGACACGACUAGCAAAGCUUAAGACGAGAACGCACAAGUCUGUGUUUACAACGUACAGAGGACCGAGGGGGAUGACAAGUUCCCGGCUCCCAGAUCCAGGGACCCGGCCCAGCUCCGGGCUUGGGGCACGAAGGAGUCGACUCCUCUCCCUCACUGACCAACUUAGGGGCCUUGUGCUGCUGUCUGGCAUGCACCAUGUUGUAAUUUAAUUAAAACCAGAGGCUUGAGAUAAUGGGCUGGUGGUGCCUACAGCCCCACCUCGGAUGAAAGUUGGCCCCCGGAUAGCAGGAAUAAAGGUCUUCCAAGACACCAAGACACCAGCCAUUAAAUAACUCCAGUUAACCCCACGGAGGGGUUACCCGAGGCCCUGACUCAUGAGCCAUGCGGGACCCGUGCCCUGGACAGAGUUGGGAGAUUCUGGACCAAGGGGCAUCCACUCGCUCAUUCUCACCAUCUGGAGUCUCUUCUCCAAAGCGUGUUGUGUGGAAUGGUGGAUCCUCUGGGUGCUGGUAGCAGCCCCUUCUCACCCCAAAAGGGGUUCGUAGUUGAAUGAGUUUGGGAGACACUGGGUGUAACGCAGUAAACGUGUUCUUUAUGGUGGGACCUCUCGGAGAGCUGCAUGGGCUGGAGCACUGCUUCUCACACUGCCCGUGGGGACGCAGCAGAUUUUCAGUGUCCACUCAGUAGUUGGUCCCACGGCCCCCACGUACAGCUCACCACGUGUUUGCCCUAUUUGCCACCUGGACAAACGCCGCUCAGUGGGACAGCUCCCGGGCUGGCACGCAGAUGCCCUGCGGUGUCUGGCUGGUGUACCAGCCUCUCACUGCCUCCUCCCAGCUUUCGUCCUCCUCGAGUUGCGGUCCAGCAACAAACGGUCCAUGGCUCAGUCCGUGGGCAUAACUUUGAGUAGCGCUGAGCCGAGGACCUGGCUGUGCCUCUCUGAAGGGAGACCGCUCCGGCCCCGGUGAGUCCACCUCCCUCUCACUGGGAUCAGGUUCGAGCUGUUCAUUGAGGAAUGUGUCCAGCCGUGGUGGGGCGUGCAGCUGUGUCAGAGCUGGACGUCUGUCCCCAGACCAGCGGGGCGUUUCCCACUGGCACCUGUAUUGCAGGAGUUGAGUUUCCCGAGUCCAGACAGGGCUUUGAAGUAAAAGGCCAGCUCUCCUGGGAAACCGCAGCACCUCUGGAGAGGCUCAGAUGAAAACCAGAUGUUUCCAGUUCAAGGAAGACAGUGCGAAUUCCCUACACACGCCCACACCCUAGGCUUUGCGCAGUCUCCCUGGCAGAUUCUGAGAGUCAUCGUGGGGAACUCCCAUCUCGUUCUGUGAAGCAGCCUGACAAUCAGCCAGGCGGGUGAUGCUCCAGAACAAACCAGGAAGCCAGUGGGCCUGGGGGCGACGCUGCCCUCUGCAGAUGUCGGACUGAGAGGCACCCGUGGGGAAGGGCAGUGCUGGGCGUCCCCACGCUUGUCUGCAGAGUGCCCCUAGGCUGCUGCCGGGUCAGGAACCAGCUCCCUUUCCAGCCUUCCUGCUCCACUGGACCCGGGAGGGUCCCUCAGAAGCUCCAUGGGGUCGGACGUGGGAUGCUCAUUGGUCCUGAUGGCAAGUCCUCCUGACUGAGAGGAAAGACGAUGAGGCGACAGGCCUUCCCAAGGUUGGCCAUAAAUCAGAGCCAACGGGGGACAUGUGUCACGGAUGCCAGCCCUGGGGUCUCGGGUGCCCCACUGGACCACAGGAGACCAGCUCUCGCUCAGCUCGUCUGCUGGCAGGGACGACCAGCCUGUGGCCGUGCUUUGCCCCCGAGGGGUUGUCCUGCUGUUUAAUGAGGUUUAAGGGAGAGGCGGCCCAGCGUCUGUCUCAUCAGAGGGCAUGGAGUCUUGAGACACAGGAGCUCCUCUGGCCUUUAGGGCUCUCAGCAUCCACCCCAUUCACGCGCAGGAACAGCCGUGACUUAGGGCGCAUCUGGGGGCACAGGCGGUUUCGGGGGAAGGAAGGCCCUCUGAGUACCCUCAGGCUUCACGCUGGGCUCCUCCUGCAGGAGAGACGGAGCUGGGCGGCGCCUCCGGACAUUCUGUCGGGCAGUCCCUGGUUCGCUGUAAACCUCCGAGUUCUCAAGAUAACAGCCCAGGGAUCGGCCUGAGGAAUAACCUGCUCACAGGAAGGACAGCAGGCGGCCAAACUGGUGAAUUCCAACCCGGGGAUCUUCGUCCUGGUGCCAUGGCGCCUGGAAGUCAUGGGGAUUUUUACAGAAAACCAUGAAGCAUAUUUGCGAUCCCUCUGGCCGUGGAGUCCCAGAGAUCCCUGACCCCAACCUGCCGUUCGACUUUGAACUUGUCACUUCCCGUCUCUGUGCCUCUGUUUCCUCACCUGUAAAAGGGACGGAUACACUGGUGUGAGGACAAAGCGACAAAACCCGGUAAAUCUAACCUCAUCCAGUGCCUGCACACUGCAGAUACUUGGUCAGUGGUUGCCAAGUACCAAAAACUUAAGAAAAAUGUUCCAGAGGGGAAGCUAAAUUGAGAAGGGCCUUCCCACUGAAAUUAUUGUUAUUAUUAUUUUAAGUUGGGGAAAGACUGCCGCUGCCUGAUGAUAGUGGCUGAGCAUGCUGCCCAGAGCUCAGGAGCAGCCCAGGAGCCGUGGUGCAGGCCAGGCUCUGAACCUCUCCCGCGUGGGACACCGGACCGAGCACACAACCAGAGGACACACCGGGCUCACGAAAUCACGGGCUCAAAGCCCAGCUCCGUCUCUCAUCGCCAGGUGACCCGUCAGGUGGCUCCACCUCCCGGUCUGCACACCAGCGCUGCUGCAGGACGCGCCCACAGUGGUGCAGGUGGCGGGUCGGCGUGACUGUGCACAGAACACAGCGGGCUGAGCGAACGCAAAAUGAGAGCUCAGUCAGGAAGAAAACCAGGGUGCCCACGACAUGUGCACGAUUUCAGCCCCACUAAACACCCUCCAACUCGGGGCAAUUUAGAAAGCAACACUGCUGUAGGGGUGACCUCGAAACCGCUCAAAAUUGUUUAAAACUCAUCCACACUUACUGCUUUGGUCUUUGUGGGUAACAAACCAUUUGUCGACAGCCUCCUGACCGACACGGGCGGGAAGCCUCAGUGCGGGCGGGGAUAGACUUCUGCCCCGGCUGCUUUGGUUUCCCAUGGCCACUGUAAGAAAUGACCCUGGACUAAGUGGCUUAGAGAAUACAAAUUUAUCACCUUAUGGUUCUGGCGCUCAGAAGACCGAAAUGGGUCUCAACAGGUGAAAACCAAGGUGUCACCAGUCCGAGUCCUUCUGGAGGCUCCAGGAGAUGGUCACUCCUUACCUUUUCCAGCUUUAAAAGGCUGCCCCCCUCCUGGCCUCGUGGCUGCUUCUGUCCUCGAAGCCGGCUGAGUCCUUCUCUCCACGUGAUCUCUCUGGUUCUGACCACUCUCCCUCCCUCUGCCCCAUGUAGGUCCCUUGCGGUGUACUGGGCCCACCUGUGGUGCAGGGUCAUCUCCCUGGUUUAGGAUCAGGUGAUCAGCAACCUUAAUUCCAUUUGCAACUUUAUGUGCUUUUGCCCCCUGUCAUGCAUGUAACAUAACAUAUUCCCAGGGCCCAGGAAUUUGCAGUGGACAUCUUGGGACUGGGGCUUUGUCUUGCCUACCACAUGGGAAAACCUUGAAUCUGCUCAAAGUUAUUUAAAAUUCAUUCACACAUAUGGUUGCUUUAAUCUUUAUCAGUAACAAAUACUAUGAAUAACUUCACAACAGAUAUUGAUCAGAAAUGCCGGGCUUUUCUCCAGGCUGCAUGAGAUGUGAAAAAAUAUGGUGGUUUUCUCAUAAAAUUAAAUUUUCUCCAUUGAAGAACUGUUCUUUUGGUAUUAAAGUGGUGGUAACAGACAAC
rnacentral:lncRNA from 1 species